UACGGAGGGUGCAAGCGUUAUCCGGAUUCACUGGGUUUAAAGGGUGCGUAGGCGGGUUGGUAAGUCCGUGGUGAAAUCCCCAAGCUUAACUUGGGAACUGCCGUGGAUACUAUCAAUCUUGAAUAUCGUGGAGGUAAGCGGAAUAUGUCAUGUAGCGGUGAAAUGCUUAGAUAUGACAUAGAACACCAAUUGCGUAGGCAGCUUUCUACACGAUCAUUGACGCUGAGGCACGAAAGCGUGGGGAGCAAACAGG
rnacentral:rRNA from 1 species